rnacentral:lncRNA from 1 species
GAAAAACCACCUCAAAACCAUUUUUUUCAUUUAUACAAUUAGUAUUCUAAAGAAAACUUAUAACAGAAAUAUAAAAUGCAACAUCUCUUUUUUGGAUUUUGAUUUAUUACACAGCUUUGCAAAAUAAAAAGUACAAUAAUAAUAAUAAAACUCGACAUUACUAUACAAAACUAAAAGGCAAAGAACGACAUAAAAAGAAGAAAAGGAAAUCUUUUUUUUAAUCCACUCCUGAAUGGGCGAUCCUGACUAGAUGUCCUGGGCUCUGUCCUGCUCAAACACCGGUAAGCAAAUUCACACCUGUAUGAGGAAGCUUUAAACCAACACUAUGUGAGACAAUAACAUUCCCUAAGACACAUGCAAGACAUGAUUGAGGUUAUUUUUGCAAAAUGGCUUAUUUGGCCAAAAGGUGGCUAGAAAUGCAAAAUUUGGCUAAGACCCCGCAAAGCCAAGAACCUAAGAUUUACUAGGAAGACCGGACCAUGUGUGGGUUGCCUACGUAUCACGCCCCGAAAGACGAGAAUCAAGUAUGCGUAGUUCGGGCAGAUUGGAUACGGGCGAGAAUUAAAAAAACAACUAACUUAUAGAAAACACAUUUAUUUUGUCUCUUUUUUUUUUCGAAAAAUGAUGAAACAUGUAAAAUCUCUUUGGAUUUUCUUUUAUCUUUUUUUUUCGAUUUUUUUUUAUUUUUGAAAAAAGAUAAAAAGUGCAAAAUCUUUUUCAAUUUUCAAGCUUUUUUUUUUAACAAAAAUGUAACAGAAUACAUAAUUGGGCCUUACUCUCUUUAUCCUCACACUUCACCCUUUCUUUUUUCUUUUUUUCUUCCUUUUUUUCUUCAUUCGCCCUCAAUUAUCAUUGGCCGCCAAAUGACCCUUUUACCCUUGAAGGAAUGCAACAUGUAGUACACAGGAUGCAUCAAGAUGGUUUGUUAUUUUGGGUGCACCUGUCCUAGACGGACCCAACCCCUGUGUUGAGUCUCCUAAGUCAAAUGCACAUGAUGCAAGCAAGCGCUCCUACUAGGGAUCCGGCAUGAGGUCUUGUUUUUCUAGGUUUGAAUCCUUGGGUUUUGUUCUAAACUUGGCUUACCCGAGCGGACAACUCGAGUCGAGGGGGGGCAGCGCACCGGGAAUACAGAAGCUUCACCGGCUUUGCAACUUGUCCGAACCUCGUUCUAAAUUUGCAAUAUGACUCUAACAGAAAAGAAGCCACACGAAGUGCACACUUCUUCAUGAUUUAGAAGACUCAGAGAGAAGAGAGAUUUCGCAACAGUUUAUAUACAGUUCACGGAAUAUCAAAGCGGCAAAAGCAAUCAAUUAGCACAUUAGGCCCAAAUCAUGUAACAAAAUCAGACAAUGGAUAAAGCCAACUAUAACAAUUAUUCUAAGCUCAAAUUCUUGAACCCUGAACCAGAGAUUCUGGGUUCGAUCCCCAGCAGAGUCGCCAGAGCUGACACACCUCCUUUUUCACCUACACCCCCGAAAGGGUGUAAAUAAAGGAAGUUUUUCCAAUUAAAGGACAAUCGAAACGGGAUUUAUUGUUUAGAUUCAGAGUUGCCACUUGGGAGAUUUAUGGUGUCCCAAGUCACCGGUUUAAUCCCGAGUCGAGGAAAAGUUUGACUCUGUUUAACAGUCCGCGAACCAGAAAUCCGAGUAAGGAAUUCUGUUAACCCGGGAGAAGGUGUUAGGCAUUCCCGAGUUCCGUGGUUCUAGCACGGUCACUCAACUAUUAUUUUUGGCUCAAUUAUCUGAUUUUAAAACACUUUUAAACCUAUGUACACUUUUAACUUUAAAACCGCUUUUUUAUUUAAGGAAUUAUUCCAAGGUUAUUUAAAACAUAUCGCAAGUCACGCUACAUGAAAUGCACCCGUGGUUCACGACACAUUCUAUUUAACCUUGUCGAAAAUUAGAACCGGGCCACAUGAAAUGCACCCCGGGUUGUUAACAUAUUUUGACUUCGUUGAGAUUUUGAUUUGGGUCACAUAAAUGUGCACCCGAGUUUGGGAAGGUAAUGUUAUUAAAUACGCGCCUAAAGCAGCUACGCGUUUGCACUUUGCGAGGGCCAUGGAAUUUGCUAAAUGGCAUGCCUCAGAGUCUAAGGAUAAAAAAAAAACUAAUUAAUGAAGACCGUGCAUUUUAUAAAUUUUAUUAGGCACGACACGCCUCAAUUCCAAUUCUAAAGAGGAUUCAAGCCAAAUUCUCGAGGGCCAUAGAUACGUCUUACUUAACAGCUUCAAACCAAUCCAAAUAUAAUCAACCAUCUCCCAAAAUACAAUUAACUACAUAAACUUACUGCCAUAUUUAAAAAAAAAACAAAAGUCAACACAUCAACUCAACAAUUGUAUCAUGCGUACAACUUAGUUCAAUGCAGCAAAAUUAGCGUGAAUUCAUCCAAAGGAUUUCAAAGCAGCAGUACGUAUUUUCAGGAAAGCAGAUAAAUGAACUAAGACGUCCAACAAGGAUAAAAUAACAAUUUAAAAGGAACUAAUCCAAAAAUAUUAAACAAAAUGACAAGGAAACCAAACAAUACAGAUUCAAACUUACUGAAAUAGAAAGUAAUCUAUUGAUUAAUAAAGAAAGAAAAGAGAUGGAAAGUGACGGACCUCAACAAUUAACUCAUUAGUAUUAACGAGAAUUCAGUUAUGGCAAAUUUCGACGAACUAAAUCUGACCAAAAAUGCAACAACAGCAAGAGUUUGAUCCGUGAACCAUGAAAAUAACCUUGAACGGCACCUCGACGCACCGGACCUUGACGGACUCAGAAACUACACCGACGACCUCGAACGAACCUCAAAUUAGUUGAACCUCAUCUUUGAAACCCAAAAAUCCGGAAUUUCUGUCCGGAAUUUGUCUAAAAAACUCGAGACUCAAAAGCAGCAGAAUUUUUUUGUGAGUUUUUUUUUCUUAUUUUUCGCUUGAGAACGCGAGUGUGUGUGUGCGUGUUCUCCAGUGAGUCUUGAGGAAAUGGAAGAAGAAGGGGUCGCUGCUCAUUCAAACGUUGAAGCCCAAGAUAAGCGCUAGAGGGGGGGGGGGGGGGGGGGCCUUAUGAGAAAAAACGGCGCUGCAGCCUCUUUUUUAGAGUGUAUUUUUUUUGCGUGUUUUUGUAUGUAUUUUCGUCUCCUUUUUCUGUAGUUUUCGUCCGUCUGUUUGUGUAGUUUGUUUUCCUUUUUUAUGUAGACAAAUGGUUUUAUAGAGUGUGUGGGGUAGGGUGUUAUGUGGGGGAGUAGUUUUGGGUGAAGGUUUUAUGUGUUGGAAAAUUUUGGGGGGAAGUAUUUU